CCAGAAGCAGACUGUUCUUGUCCCUAUGUGAUUCUCCAUGCUGAAGAUGUUGCUGAAGAUAAGCUUUCCAGUGCUUGAAAUGUGCUGGUUUCCAUUGGCUGUUUGUGAAAUAAUCUCUCUCAUAGGUGGCACAGACCAGAGUUCAGCAGGUAUGAGAAGCAAGUGUUUGAUUGCCUAAUGAAUCAUCAAGCAUUUUACUAUCCUGAGUUUGCUCCCCAACAUAAAAUA